UCCGGUUUGUCACCGGCAGUCCCCUUAGAGUCCCCGACAUGACUCGCUGGCAACUAAGGGCAAUGGUUGCGCUCGUUGCGGGACUUAACCCAACACUUCACAGCACGAGCUGACGACAGCCAUGCAGCACCUGUGCAAGACUCCGAUUGGAUACGGUCGCCCCGACUUUCAUCAGGACUACUUCAAGCAUGUCAAGCCCAGGUAAGGUUCCUCGCGUAGCCUCGAAUUAAACCACAUGCUCCACCGCUUGUGCGGGUCCCCGUCAAUUCCUUUGAGUUUCAGUCUUGCGACCGUACUCCCCAGGUGGUAGAUUUAAUGCGUUAGCUUCGGCACUGUAAGGAUCGACUCCUCCAGCGCCUAAUCUACAUCGUUUACGGCUGGGACUAC
rnacentral:misc_RNA from 1 species